UGGGGAAUAUUGCACAAUGGGCGCAAGCCUGAUGCAGCCAUGCCGCGUGUAUGAAGAAGGCCUUCGGGUUGUAAAGUACUUUCAGCGAGGAGGAAGGCGGUAAGGUUAAUAACCUUAUCGAUUGACGUUACUCGCAGAAGAAGCACCGGCUAACUCCGUGCCAGCAGCCGCGGUAAUACGGAGGGUGCAAGCGUUAAUCGGAAUUACUGGGCGUAAAGCGCACGCAGGCGGUCUGUCAAGUCGGAUGUGAAAUCCCCGGGCUCAACCUGGGAACUGCAUUCGAAACUGGCAGGCUAGAGUCUUGUAGAGGGGGGUAGAAUUCCGGGUGUAGCGGUGAAAUGCGUAGAGAUCUGGAGGAAUACCGGUGGCGAAGGCGGCCCCCUGGACAAAGACUGACGCUCAGGUGCGAAAGCGUGGGGAGCAAACA
rnacentral:rRNA from 1 species